rnacentral:rRNA from 1 species
CGAACCGUCCGAACGUUAUUCGGAAUCACUGGGCUUUAAGGGUGCGUAGGCGGCGUAGUAAGUAGGGUGUGAAAUCCCUCGGCUCAACCGAGGAACUGCGCCCUAAACUACUAUGCUUGAGGGAGAUAGAGGUGAGCGGAACUUAGGGUGGAGCGGUGAAAUGCGUUGAUAUCCUAAGGAACACCGGUGGCGAAAGCGGCUCACUGGAUCUCUUCUGACGCUGAGGCACGAAAGCUAGGGUAGCAAACGGG